GUCUGGUGCCAGACAGCCGCGGUAAUUCCAGCUCCAAUAGCGUACGUUAAAGUUGCUGCAGUUAAAAAGCUCGUAGUUGAACGUUCGGGUUCCGCGGGACGGGGCCGCCCCGCGAGGGACGGCGCCGCCCCGGGGCUCGUGAUAUCUCAUCUCGCCGCCCGUCGCGAGGCGGACGGAGGGAUGGAUGAGGUUACCUGGAAAAAUCGGGGCGAUCUAGGCGGGCGAACCUCGCCAACGAACGAUCGGACAUGGGAUAACGGAAGAGGGGCGUCGGCUCGACUUCGUCGGUUCCUCGGGCCGAGGCACGUACGGUGAAUAGGGACGGUCGGGGCCGCCCGUACCGGGUCGUGAGAGGUGAAAUUCUAGGAUCGACCCGAGACGAACCGCCGCGAAAGCAUUCGGCAAGGACGCUUUCAUUAAUCAAGAACGAAAGUCGGGGAGUCGAAGACGAUCAGAUACCGUCGUAGUCCCGACCGUAACGAUGCCG
rnacentral:rRNA from 1 species